rnacentral:rRNA from 1 species
AUUGAACGCUGGCGGCAUGCCUAACACAUGCAAGUCGAACGGCAGCGCGGGGAGCAAUCCCUGGCGGCGAGUGGCGGACGGGUGAGGAAUGCGUCGGAAUCUGCCCUAUCGUGGGGGAUAACCAGUCGAAAGGCUGGCUAAUACCGCAUGCGACCGAGAGGUGAAAGCGGGGGACCGAAAGGCCUCGCGCGAUGGGAUGAGCCGACGCCGGAUUAGCUAGUUGGGGGGUAAGAGCCCACCAAGGCGACGAUCCGUAGCUGGUCUGAGAGGAUGAUCAGCCACACUGGGACUGAGACACGGCCCAGACUCCUACGGGAGGCAGCAGUGGGGAAUAUUGGACAAUGGGCGCAAGCCUGAUCCAGCAAUGCCGCGUGUGUGAAGAAGGCCUUGGUUGUAAG